rnacentral:rRNA from 1 species
UACGGAGGGUGCGAGCGUUAAUCGGAAUUACUGGGCGUAAAGCGCACGCAGGCGGUUUGUUAAGCUAGAUGUGAAAGCCCCGGGCUCAACCUGGGAUGGUCAUUUAGAACUGGCAGACUAGAGUCUUGGAGAGGGGAGUGGAAUUCCAGGAGUAGCGGUGAAAUGCGUAGAUAUCUGGAGGAACAUCAGUGGCGAAGGCGACUCCCUGGCCAAAGACUGACGCUCAUGUGCGAAAGUGUGGGUAGCGAACAGG